AGUGCUUAACACAUGCAAGUCGAACGGAAAGGCCUUUUCGGAGGUACUCGAGUGGCGAACGGGUGAGUAACACGUGGGUGAUCUGCCCUGCACUCUGGGAUAAGCCUGGGAUACUGGGUCUAAUACCGGAUAGGACCGCACUUUAGUGUGUGUGGUGGAAAGUUUUUUCGGUGUAGGAUGAGCCCGCGGCCUAUCAGCUUGUUGGUGGGGUAAUGGCCUACCAAGGCGGCGACGGGUAGCCGGACUGAGAGGUUGGUCGGCCACAUUGGGACUGAGAUACGGCCCAGACUCCUACGGGAGGCAGCAGUGGGGAAUAUUGCACAAUGGGCGCAAGCCUGAUGCAGCGACGCCGCGUGGGGGAUGACGGCCUUCGGGUUGUAAACUCCCUUCGCCAGGGACGAAGCGUUUUGUGACGGUACCUGGAGAAGAAGCACCGGCUAACUACGUGCCAGCAGCCGCGGUAAUACGUAGGGUGCAAGCGUUGUCCGGAAUUACUGGGCGUAAAGAGCUCGUAGGUGGUUUGUCACGUCGUCUGUGAAAUUCCACGGCUUAACUGUGGGCGUGCAGGCGAUACGGGCUGACUUGAGUACUGUAGGGGUAACUGGAAUUCCUGGUGUAGCGGUGAAAUGCGCAGAUAUCAGGAGGAACACCGAUGGCGAAGGCAGGUUACUGGGCAGUUACUGACGCUGAGG
rnacentral:rRNA from 1 species